rnacentral:rRNA from 1 species
UACGUAGGGUGCGAGCGUUUAAUCGGAAUGACUGGGCGUAAAGGGCGCGUAGGCGGAUGGCACAGUCAGAUGUGAAAUUCCCGGGCUUAACCUGGGGGCUGCAUUUGAUACGUGUGAUCUAGAGUGAGGAAGAGGGUCGUGGAAUUCCCAGUGUAGAGGUGAAAUUCGUAGAUAUUGGGAAGAACACCGGUGGCGAAGGCGGCGACCUGGUCCUUGACUGACGCUGAGGCGCGAAAGCGUGGGGAGCAAACAGG